ACUUAUGCCAGUCACCUGGAAAAGGAGGGAGAAAAUGCCUGGAUUAGCUGCCUACAAAACGCAGUGGAACACUGAACCAGUCCCUCCAGGAGGACAGUGUCAAAUCUUGCAUUGAUAUCAUGCAGAUUCAGCUCGCAUUCAGAAGUGGCUGUCUGAUAGAAUAGCUCCAAGGAAGAUGUGAUCUCCACAGCCAUUGUAAGAGAGGAAGCAAUUCUGAAGAAAGGUGAUAAUUGAAAUUUAUUUUUUCAUCCCAAGUCCCGCUUUCACGUCUCGUUGUACCUAUACUCCUUGCAGUUGGCUGGAUAGUGGGUUGUGCCCUAAUGGUUUACAUUGUCUUCUCUUGAUGGAAGACAGAAGAAUUUACAAUUAUGUUGAUUAGAAGAACCUGGAAGUUAAAUUGAAAAUUUUAAUUACUAAAAUAUGUAUGAAAUGAGUUAUUUUUAAUAUCAAUGCUGUAAACAUGGUGUACAGUUUUUAUCCACAACAAAGGUGUGAAAUGCUAAUUAGAGCAUUAGGAAGAAUCAUCAAACCAAUUUCCCAGUUUUCCAAUGGUUUGUAAUUGAGCGAGUAGUUUUUGGAGUCCAGUGGUAGGUCAGAUACCUGCCUGUUCUGCAGCCUGCGUUGUUGUCGCCACCUUGAAUUUAAGCAGUUUUGGAAACAGUAUUCCUAGAGUUAGUGACACAGUGGUGGACAAAAAAGUGAGUUAAGUUCAUCUGUGAGAUGUGCUGAGCUGGGGAAGAAGUAUCUCAAUGUAUCUGGGAAAGUUUUAAGUGAGUUAAGACUUUUUUUAAGUUUUGUAGUGAAAAAUAAAUUAUUAAAUUUAAAAUGU